rnacentral:misc_RNA from 4 species
CAACCCUCGAGCCCCCGUGGCCCGGCGUUGGGGACCUGCCCAGGCAGUCCCCGAAAACCAGUGGCGGACCCGACGGGCCCUUCCUUUGCGUAGUAACAUCUGCCUCGCAUCGGGAGCCCCCGGGCUAUCCGGCCUCUAAACCCCCCUCAAGCCCGCUCCGGCGGCACCAA